UACGUGGGGGGCAAGCGUUGUUCGGAAUUACUGGGCGUAAAGGGCUCGUAGGUGGCCAACUAAGUCAGACGUGAAAUCCCUCGGCUUAACCGGGGAACUGCGUCUGAUACUGGAUGGCUGGAGUAUGGGAGAGGGAUGCGGAAUUCCAGGUGUAGCGGUGAAAUGCGUAGAUAUUCGGAAGAACACCAGUGGCGAAGGCGACUUACUGGACACAUAUUGACGCUGAGGUGCGAAAGCGUGGGGAGCAAACAGG
rnacentral:rRNA from 1 species